ensembl:snRNA U6 U6 spliceosomal RNA
GUGCUCCUUUUGACAGCACAUAUACUAAAAUUGAAACAAUACAAAAAAGAUUAGCAUGACCCUUAUGCAAGGAUGACAAGCAAAUUUGUGAAGCAUUCAAAUUUUUA